AACGAACGCUGGCGGCAGGCCUAACACAUGCAAGUCGAACGCUCCGCAAGGGGAGUGGCGCACGGGUGAGUAACACGUGGGAACCUACCUUCUGGUACGGAACAACCAAGGGAAACUUUGGCUAAGACCGUAUACGACCUCCGGGUGAAAGAUUGAUCGCCGGAAGAGGGGCCCGCGUCCGAUUAGGUAGUUGGUGAGGUAACGGCUCACCAAGCCUUCGAUCGGUAGCUGGUCUGAGAGGACGAUCAGCCACACUGGGACUGAGACACGGCCCAGACUCCUACGGGAGGCAGCAGUGGGAAUCUUGCGCAAUGCGCGAAAGCGUGACGCAGCAACGCCGCGU
rnacentral:rRNA from 1 species